AUUUAAUUAGUCACACUUUGUCUGUAGGGAAUUUGAGAUCACAAUUCCUGGAGGAUGAAAGCAUAAUUAUGUAAUUGCUGCGAUGCAAAUUCCAUGUUCUGCAUUUUCUUUUUCAUUUUCCAUUUAAAACUAAAUUGAUUAUAUUUGCUGAGUUGAUGAAGUUUGUUCCCUUGUAUGUUACCAAAGCAAUAAUGGACAACUUUCCUGUGAAGAUAAGAAUUCCAAAUGCAAUUGAUAUGUGAUCCUUGACUUUGUUACAUGAGUGAUUAUAGCAACUUAAGUUUCUGUGCUACUGUCAUGAAUGCUCUGGUAUUUGAUGACUUCCCAUCAUAUAAUGUGAACUUUCUUGGACUUUAAAGUUUAUAUUGUGAAAAGUUAUGGGAUCUUUACUGUUUUAUAUGCAAUUUCAAUGAUGGUUGGGAUUCUAGACUUUCAGUCUUGAUAUUUUAUUUAGAUGGUAUUGGGAAUUAGCUUCAUUCCAAGCUUAGGUGCUCCCAGAAGAGAUUGGAAGUCUGAAGCGUUAAUAUCUAUGAUCAAGUUGACAAAACUUUGUUGUUCUACAAAAAAGGCAAAUUUUCAAGUAAAAGGUACACAAAAUGCAAAGAUUGGUUUGCAAUGUAGUCGUGAUCAGGCAGGCUUGUAAUAUCAAUAAAGCAUCCUUUAACUUAGGCACUGCUUGUUUGUACCAAAUGUCUCUGUUUCUGAUACUUGGUUACAUUCUCUCUUUAAUCAGAUCAGCAUUAUAGAUUACCCACCAAUGUUAAUCUUGUUAUUUUCAUGCAGUGUACCUGUUGGUGGCAUGUAGCAUGUAUGAUAAGUCCAGUGAUGCAAGCAAUGUUAUCAGUUACCGACUGAAAUCAUCAUGAAAUGUUUCAUUAUAUAUCUGGGAAUCACUUAUCUUGACUUUUGGAUCAAAAUAACAUUAUUUUCUUGAUAAUUUCUAUUAGCAUGACUUAUCAAUAUAUGAUUUUAUCAGAGGUUCUGUAUGAAGAAAUAAGUGAAUUUUGAAAAUGAAUUAGUG
rnacentral:misc_RNA from 1 species